rnacentral:rRNA from 1 species
UACAGAGGGGGCAAGCGUUAUUCGGAAUUAUUGGGCGUAAAGGGCGCGUAGGCGGCCUGGCAAGUGGAAGGUGAAAUCUCCGGGCUUAACCUGGAAACUGCCAUUGAUACUAUAGGUCUUGAAUAUUGUGGAGGUUAGCGGAAUAUGUCAUGUAGCGGUGAAAUGCUUAGAUAUGACAUAGAACACCAAUUGCGAAGGCAGCUGGCUACGCAUAUAUUGACACUGAGGCUCGAAAGCGUGGGGAUCAAACAGG